GACGGUACGGCUCAGUGGUGGAGCACAUGCCUAGCAUGCAUGAGGUCCUGGGUUCAUCACCAGUACCUCCA
rnacentral:tRNA from 1 species